GCCAGAAUAAUUCAGUUAGAAGAGUGUUAGACUGGAAAUCUUAAAGGUCCCCGGUUCGAUCCCGGUUUCUGGCA